rnacentral:rRNA from 1 species
AGAGUUUGAUCAUGGCUCAGAUUGAACGCUGGCGGCAUGCCUUACACAUGCAAGUCGAACGGUAACAGGUCUUCGGACGCUGACGAGUGGCGAACGGGUGAGUAAUACAUCGGAACGUGCCCAGUCGUGGGGGAUAACUACUCGAAAGAGUAGCUAAUACCGCAUACGAUCUGAGGAUGAAAGCGGGGGACCUUCGGGCCUCGCGCGAUUGGAGCGGCCGAUGGCAGAUUAGGUAGUUGGUGGGAUAAAAGCUUACCAAGCCGACGAUCUGUAGCUGGUCUGAGAGGACGACCAGCCACACUGGGACUGAGACACGGCCCAGACUCCUACGGGAGGCAGCAGUGGGGAAUUUUGGACAAUGGGCGAAAGCCUGAUCCAGCAAUGCCGCGUGCAGGAUGAAGGCCUUCGGGUUGUAAACUGCUUUUGUACGGAACGAAAAAGCUCCUUCUAAUACAGGGGGCCCAUGACGGUACCGUAAGAAUAAGCACCGGCUAACUACGUGCCAGCCGCCGCGGUAAUAC